AUGAAAAAAAAAAAACAUUUUUAUGCUGGAAAUUUUACUUCUACCUCCAUCUUUUCUCUUUGUUCUCCACAGAUUUGUAUUCAGGAGUUUCUGAGUGAGACGUCUCCCGCUGAUAAUGUCUCUGGUUCAGUCUUACUCAACCUGACACUCAUCAAGUCCAACCUGCUCAUGCCGGCACCCUGCAUUAGACUGGGGAUCCAGGGUGUACUCCACCUCUGGAACAAAGGUAGCUGGGAUUCAGCUCCCCCAUAACCCUGAUAAGGAAAAGCAGAAAAGAAUGAUGGAUGGACGACUGGAUAAAAGGCCCAAAAGUAGUUGUUAUAAUGCAAAAGCUUCAUUAGAGCUUUUUCAAUUUAGAACUUUCCCAACUCUGUACUGAAGGUGGGAGAAAACAAAGUUAGAUAUAUACUUUUUUUUCAAGAUUUGCAUGUCCAUUUGAAAUUUUAACUGCAGAACCAUUUGUUUCUUAAAUGUGAAAUAAAAUUUAUAUCAAACUGGAUUCGAUCAGAAAUAAAUCAGUUGUUGUCAAGCUAGCACUUCAAUAGUAAUCAUGUCUAAACAUGAUCUUUUGUUUAUAUUAUCAACAGCCUUACUAUGUUCUGUGAAGAAAAUGCAGCAGAAACUGUAAUAAAUUUGCUAUAACUGCAUGCCAGUGAGGCUCUCACAUCGCUAUUAAGGAAUUUUGGCAAACUCUUUUGUUGCAGAACUGUUUUAAUUCAGCCGCACUGGAAGGUUUCCCAGCACAAACGACCUGUGCCAGCUGACCAACCAGCUUUCUUGCUGUAGUGACAGUCCUUAAUCACUCAACUGCAGGUCAACAAACUCUUGAGUAACUUGAAUCCCAACUAAAAAAAAAAUCAAGGUAAAAAUAUUUUAAUUACAAUUUUGUUUAGAUUGGAUAUAAAGAGCAGCAUAAUAUCCCCAACUGGUCCCGAUAUGUGCACAUGAAUGUUUCAGGAAAUUUUUUUUUUGCUGUCACAGCCUUUCAGAGAUUUCAAAGUAGCCUAGAAUAUGAUAAAAUUCAGUGGGUAUGGGUUGUGCUGAUAUCUAAUAAGAUCUCAAACACAUACUGUAUGUGUCUUUGUAGCAAAUUAUUAAAUAAGCAUAUUAAAUACAGUAUCCACAAGUGGAAGUCAUGAGAAAAAGUUUCCGGAGCUAAACUUCAGCCUCCCAGUAGAUCCAUCUAUCAUUCCCAAGAUUUCAACUCAAGCUUUAAAGUCACUGAAAUUCAACUGUCUGAGAUUUUUGGUAGAUAUAACUAUGUUAUCAAUUUGAAGCUCCUUCGUUCUCAAAUUAUCACAUUCACAAAUCGCAUAUCCACACAGCCCGUCUGCCUGGUGGACUUUUACUUUUUAGCUGUCUGUAAAUGAACAGCUACGUUUAACAGCUCAGUCAGGAUCAUUUUACUUCAAUGUGCUCAAUCUUCGACGAACAUCUGUUUUUAUUAAACCAUUCAAAAUCACAGAUCUAAAACAAACAGCCAAUAUACCGACAAUACUGAUCGAGUUCCCCGCGCGCAGUCGAUCUAGAGCUUGAUUGACUCCACCACUAAAACUCGUGGUCACACUAAAAAGCCCAACAACACGCAUUAAAAUGGGCACGUGCGAGUGGGUAUAUUGUUUGGUAAGAGACUUUUGCAGUUUUGUUUGGAUUAUUUAUUAUUUUAGGUGCCCAUCGUCUCUGAAACUUCCCACAGAAGAUCGCUCACCUCAACCCAAACACGUACUAUCUUUUCAAAGCUCCUCCGCCAAUCACACGGCAGAAGGCAGCAAACUACCAGGUGACAUUUGUUACAGUUUGAUGAUUGGCUGAUCUGAGGGCGGAUCUGCGUCUCUGAGACGUCUGCUACCCGGGCAGCCAGUGCAGACGUCUUUCCUCUCUUCACCCUUUAACAUGAGCCAGAAGGUAAUGUGAUUUCAAUAAACUGCUCAUCGCUGUUAUUAUUAUUGCGUAUUUGUGUUCAUAGAAAAAAAACAACCCUCCUAUCCCUUAAAAACCAGCGGGGCAUAGUUUUCAUUUCAGAUAGUGACAAUCUGCGAUCCACCGGCAUCCUCUAAACUCUGAGUUUAGCUUUAAAAAAAAUAAAUGAAAUUAAAAACUUUUAAAAUGUGUCAUAAGUGGAGUCACCUUCGUGAAAUCAUUUUGUUCCUCAUGUUUUUUAGAUGUGUGUGGGAUGAAUUGGUGGGGAAGAGAAAGAAGGAAGGACAGUACAGUUAUUGCAUCAGCGACCUGUUUACGAGCCUCGCGCUGAGGCGCAUCGGAUAUUUUUAUAUAAACUAAAAUAUGCUUUUUGUCUCGUGCUUUAUAAAAAGAGCAUCAUUAUAAUACUAACAUAAUAAACAAUAAUGCUGCAUUUUACAGAGCCGUGCAAAGUCUACAGGCACUGUAAGAUCGUGGAAGUGUGCCUGCAGGCAGGGUGUUUUCCAACUCCGUUCAUCUUCACGCCGUGAGGGAAAAAAAGUACAUGUUCAAAUCCGGAAGAAACACCACGUGCUUUUUUUGUCAGUCAUCAUAGAGUUCGGGUUAUAAGUCCUCAUACUUCCUGAAACGCUUUGAGUUAAAGAAGAGGAAGAAUUCACAGACAGACGCUUCUCUCGCUCAUCUGUUCUGAAUGACAAUGGUGAAACGCUCAACUCAAGCUUUCAUAACGCCACUCUGUGUCCAUUUUUCAAACUAUAGUUGACGCCUGGUAAAAAAAUAAAAUAAAUAAAUAAAUAAAAACCCUAAAUCGCAAUACCUUAUGAAACUGUAAUUUUAUCAUUAGUGGAACCAGCUGUCAGUUUGGAUUCGGGAGAACGAAAACAAUCCAAUUCAAUCCAACUUUAUUUACAUAGCGUCAAAUCACAACAACAAUUGCCUCAAAGCACUUUAGAUUUUUAAGAUCAAGACCCUACAAAAAGAUAACCUGUCCUACUUUUAAGAUUAGACUUUGCUGGGACAACUUUCACUUUCAACCUGAUGCCUGUACUUUAAAAAUGUAAAAUAUUUUCAGAGUAAAUCAAAGUGCAGGUUUUUCUCCUGGUUGCUUCCAUUGCUGUGUUUGUAGUUCAUGUAGUUUUGGUCAGUCAGUGAAAUAAUCAGGAUCACGAACAGGAUUACAUCAAUCAGACUGUAGAUUUUCCUUCUUCCUGCUGUACUGACUGACCUUUGACCUCAUGUGUUGUGACUCUUCACCUCUG
rnacentral:lncRNA from 1 species